UACAGAGGGUGCGAGCGUUGUUCGGAAUCACUGGGCGUAAAGGGCGCGUAGGCGGUCUUGUAAGUCGGGGGUGAAAUGCUGCGGCUCAACCGCAGCGCUGCCUUCGAGACUGCAAGACUGGAGCACGGUAGAGGCGGAUGGAAUUCCCGGUGUAGCGGUGGAAUGCGUAGAGAUCGGGAAGAACACCAAUGGCGAAGGCAGUCCGCUGGGCCGUUGCUGACGCUGAGGCGCGACAGCGUGGGGAGCAAACAGG
rnacentral:rRNA from 1 species